rnacentral:rRNA from 1 species
AACGAACGCUGGCGGCAUGCCUAACACAUGCAAGUCGAACGAGACCUUCGGGUCUAGUUGCGCACGGGUGCGUAACGCGUGGGAACCUGCCCUUAGGUUCGGAAUAACUCCCCGACGGGGGUGCUAAUACCGGAUAAUGUCUUCGGACCAAAGAUUUAUCGCCUUUGGAUGGGCCCGCGUUGGAUUAGCUAGUUGGUAGGGUAAAAGCCUACCAAGGCGAGGAUCCAUAGCUGGUCUGAGAGGAUGAGCAGCCACACUGGGAGUGAGACACGGCCGAGAAUCCUACGGGAGGGAGGAGUGGGGAAUAUUGGACAAUGGGCGAAAGCCUGAUCCAGCAAUGCCGCGUGAGUGAUGAAGGCCUUAGGGUUGUAAAGCUCUUUUACCCGGGAUGAUAAUGACAGUACCGGGAGAAUAAGCACCGGCUAACUCCGUG